ensembl:misc_RNA Metazoa_SRP Metazoan signal recognition particle RNA
CCGGGAGUUCUGGGCUAUAGUGUUCUAUGAUGAGGUGUCUGCACUAAGUUGGCAUCAAUGUGGUGACCUCCCGGGAGUGGGGACUGAUGGGUUGCCUAAGGAGGGGUGAACUGACCCAGGUUGGAAACAAAUGAAAAAUUCCUGGGCUAAUCAGUAGUGGAAUUUCACCUGUUAACAGCCACUACCCUCCAGCCUGG